GAUGAACGCUGGCGGCGUGCUUAACACAUGCAAGUCGAACGGAAAGGCCCAAGCUUGCUUGGGUACUCGAGUGGCGAACGGGUGAGUAACACGUGGGUGAUCUGCCCUGCACUUCGGGAUAAGCCUGGGAAACUGGGUCUAAUACUGGAUAGGACCACUUCUUGGAUGUUGUGGUGGAAAGUUUUUUCGGUGUGGGAUGAGCUCGCGGCCUAUCAGCUUGUUGGUGGGGUAAUGGCCUACCAAGGCGUCGACGGGUAGCCGGCCUGAGAGGGUGUACGGCCACAUUGGGACUGAGAUACGGCCCAGACUCCUACGGGAGGCAGCAGUGGGGAAUAUUGCACAAUGGGCGCAAGCCUGAUGCAGCGACGCCGCGUGGGGGAUGACGGCCUUCGGGUUGUAAACUCCUUUCGCUAGGGACGAAGCGUUUUGUGACGGUACCUGGAGAAGAAGCACCGGCUAACUACGU
rnacentral:rRNA from 1 species